AUGGAGGAAUGGAGGAGAGAGAGAGAUAAGAGGAGAGGAAUGGAGGAAACGAGAGAGGAGUGUCUUUCUAUCUCCCCUCCAUUCCUCUCCUCUUGUCUCUCUCGUUUCCUCCAUUCCUCCAUUCCUCUUCUCUUUCUCUCUCGUUUCCUCCGUUCCUCUCCUCUUGUCUCUCUAUCUCCCCUCCAUUCCUCCUCCUCUCCUCUUGUCUCUCUAUCUCCCUUCCAUUCCUCUCCUCUUGUCUUUCUAUCUCCCCUCCUGUCUCUCUAUCUCCCCUCCAUUCCUCUCCUCAUCUCUCUAUCUCCCCUCCAUUCCUCUCCUUGUGUCUCUCUAUCUCCCCUCCAUUCCUCUCCUUGUGUCUCUCUAUCUCCCCUCCAUUCCUCUCCUCGUGUCUCUAUCUCCCCUCCAUUCCUCCUCCUCUCCUCGUGUCUCUCUAUCUCCCCUCCAUUCCUCUCCUUGUGUCUCUCUAUCUCCCCUCCAUUCCUCUCCUCAUCUCUCUAUCUCCCCUCCAUUCCUCUCCUCGUGUCUCUCUAUCUCCCCUCCAUUCCUCUCCUCAUCUCUCUAUCUCCCCUCCAUUCCUCUCCUCGUGUCUCUCUAUCUCCCCUCCAUUCCUCUCCUUGUGUCUCUCUAUCUCCCCUCCAUUCCUCUCCUCGUGUCUCUCUAUCUCCCCUCCAUUCCUCUCCUUGUGUCUCUCUAUCUCCCCUCCAUUCCUCUCCUCAUCUCUCUAUCUCCCCUCCAUUCCUCUCCUCGUGUCUCUCUAUCUCCCCUCCAUUCCUCUCCUUGUGUCUCUCUAUCUCCCCUCCAUUCCUCUCCUCAUCUCUCUAUCUCCCCUCCACUCCUCUCCUUGUGUCUCUCUAUCUCCCCUCCAUUCCUCUCCUCGUGUCUCUCUAUCUCCCCUCCAUUCCUCUCCUUGUGUCUCUCUAUCUCCCCUCCACUCCUCUCCUCGUGUCUCUCUAUCUCCCCUCCACUCCUCUCCUCGUGUCUCUCUAUCUCCCCUCCAUUCCUCUCCUUGUGUCUCUCUAUCUCCCCUCCAUUCCUCUCCUUGUGUCUCUCUAUCUCCCCUCCACUCCUCUCCUCGUGUCUCUCUAA
rnacentral:lncRNA from 1 species